GACGAACGCUGGCGGCGUGCUUAACACAUGCAAGUCGAACGGAAAGGCCCUGCUUUUGUGGGGUGCUCGAGUGGCGAACGGGUGAGUAACACGUGAGUAACCUGCCCUUGACUUUGGGAUAACUUCAGGAAACUGGGGCUAAUACCGGAUAGGAGCUCCUGCUGCAUGGUGGGGGUUGGAAAGUUUCGGCGGUUGGGGAUGGACGCGCGGCUUAUCAGCUUGUUGGUGGGGUAGUGGCUUACCAAGGCUUUGACGGGUAGCCGGCCUGAGGGGGUGACCGGCCACAUUGGGACUGAGACACGGCCCAGACUCCUACGGGACGCCGCAGUGGGGAAUAUUGCACAAGGGGCGGGCGCCUGAUGCAGCAGCGCCGCGUGCGGGAUGACGGCCUUCGGGGUGUAAACCGCUUUCGCCUGUGACGACGCGUGUGUGACGGUACUGGGUAAAGAAGCACCGGCUAACUACGUG
rnacentral:rRNA from 1 species